rnacentral:rRNA from 1 species
GACGAACGCUGGCGGCGUGCUUAACACAUGCAAGUCGAACGGAAAGGCCUGCUUUCCCUUGUGGAUUGCGGGUACUCGAGUGGCGAACGGGUGAGUAACACGUGAGUGAUCUGCCCCCAACUUGGGUAUAAGCCUGGGAAACUGGGUCUAAUUCCCGAUAGGACUGCAGGGUGGUGCCUGUGGUGGAAAACGAUUUUCUAGUGGUUGGGGAUGAGCUCGCGGCCUAUCAGCUUGUUGGUGGGGUAAUGGCCUACCAAGGCGGCGACGGGUAGCCGGCCUGAGAGGGUGGACGGCGACAUUGGGACUGGGAUACGGCCCAGACUCCUACGGGAGGCAGCAGUGGGGAAUAUUGCACAAUGGGCGGAAGCCUGAUGCAGCGACGCCGCGUGGGGGAUGACGGCCUUCGGGUUGUAAACUCCUUUCGACCGCGAGGAAGCCACCUGGUUGGAAGGGUGGUGACGGUAGUGGUAGAGGAAGCACCGGCUAACUACGUG